CCAAAGGCUCUUUUCAGAGCCACCCACUUUUUCUGUAAAAGAACUG
rfam:Dipodomys ordii contig_61513, whole genome shotgun sequence.